UACGGAGGGAGCUAGCGUUGUUCGGAAUUACUGGGCGUAAAGCGUACGUAGGCGGUUAUUCAAGUCAGAGGUGAAAGCCCGGGGCUCAACCCCGGAACGGCCUUUGAAACUAGGUAGCUAGAGUCUUGGAGAGGUUAGUGGAAUUCCGAGUGUAGAGGUGAAAUUCGUAGAUAUUCGGAAGAACACCAGUGGCGGAAGGCGACUAACUGGACAAGUACUGACGCUGAGGUACGAAAGCGUGGGGAGCAAACAGG
rnacentral:rRNA from 1 species